rnacentral:rRNA from 1 species
UACAGAGGGUGCAAGCGUUAAUCGGAAUUACUGGGCGUAAAGCGUGCGUAGACGGUUAUGUAAGUCAGGUGUGAAAGCCCCGGGCUCAACCUGGGAAUGGCAUUUGAGACUGCAUAGCUAGGGUGCGGAAGAGGGAAGCGGAAUUUACGGUGUAGCGGUGAAAUGCGUAGAUAUCGUAAGGAAGACCAGUGGCGAAGGCGGGUCUCUGGACAGUUCCUGACGCUGAGGCACGAAGGUCAGGGGAGCAAACGGG